rnacentral:rRNA from 1 species
CGAACGCUGGCGGCGUGCCUAAUACAUGCAAGUCGAGCGGAACACUUGGAGCUUGCUCCAAGCGUUUAGCGGCGACGGGUGAGUAACACGUGGGCAACCUGCCCUGCAGAUCGGGAUAACUCCGGGAAACCGGUGCUAAUACCGAAUAGUUUGCGGCCUCUCCUGAGGCUGCACGGAAAGCAGGGGACCUUCGGGCCUUGCGCUAUCAGAUGAGCCUAGGUCGGAUUAGCUAGUUGGUGAGGUAAUGGCUCACCAAGGCUGCGAUCCGUAACUGGUCUGAGAGGAUGAUCAGUCACACUGGAACUGAGACACGGUCCAGACUCCUACGGGAGGCAGCAGUGGGGAAUAUUGGACAAUGGGCGAAAGCCUGAUCCAGCCAUGCCGCGUGUGUGAAGAAGGUCUUCGGAUUGUAAAGCACUUUAAGUUGGGAGGAAGGGCAGUAAGUUAAUACCUUGCUGUUUUGACGUUACCGACAGAAUAAGCACCGGCUAACUUCGUGCCAGCAG